GUUUCGAGAUCGAUUAAGAUAUCGAAAGCUUGUUCCAAUCCAACUACUAGUAAGGAUAAAUCGUCUACCUCUCUCGCGGUAGAUGAACAGUAUAGUUUAAAAAAUAAAAACGGAAAUUAGUCGCCUAUGCAUAGGCGAUAUAUAUAGUGAUCGAUGAGUCUUAGCGUGACUUGGCGGUAAUUGGAAAUUUUGAUUUACGUUAGAAUUGUGUGCAUUUCUC